CAAUGAAAUUAGUCAGGAUUUUUACUGUGCCUAUGUCUAAAACCUCUUGCUGUGCAACGCUUCAUAAUUCAUCAAAUUGUUGAGCCCAAUAUUUAGACUCUUAUGCGCUAUUUGUGAACCUAAUUAUACUACAUUGAAUGCGUUCUAUAGGCAGGGGCCAAAAAUGUUUAUAAAAGCGAUGAUAAAAAUCAGACAAAGCUGCCUGAGGCCAUCUGUUGUGUUAUGUUUGACAAGCAGCAAGUGGGGAGUCAUUAUCUGAGGACUGAAUAACUUCCCGGAGCAGGGAGAGAUUUGGUGAAAGAAAAUCUGAGCAUUUAGACACAGGUUUCCUCCUGCCCAUUAGAGUUCCCAGACUAAAGGAACACUCUGCUACAGCACUCACAGGGGCUGUCUGCCAACUAAUUGCUCAGGAAAUAAGCUGUAUCCAUUGUCAAGCUGUACUUAAAGCUGCCAAUUCUUAACUGUGAAAGCUGCUUUUCCUGGGCUGUUAAAGGAAAAGUAUAACCAGCCUAAGGAUUGGUGACUAAGGGGGCGAUGAAGAGAGGGACUGGGCGGGAUCACAGCUACUAAUAAUACCUCCUUACCCAAUGAAAAGCAUUUCCUAUUGAGACCCCCCAACUAUUCCCCCUGCCCACAGAUCCUGCACAGACAUUGGGCCCAUUCUUGUGUCCUGUUUCCUUAAGACAUGAUGGCUGCAACAUUCAGCAGUUUUUUCUCUCUCCUAACAAAGGAAGAGAGAUAAGUGCUGGCAGCCUCGCAUGCUGAGGAUGACUGACAAUCGGUAAAAGGCUAGAGCAGGCAGGUUUUUCCAGAUGGGAAUAAACACAACUUCAGCAGAGAAAAAUUGGAGAAAUAUGUGGACUGUCACAGAGAAGAAUCUAUGUGAAAUCUGCUACUUACCUAGCUGCUUGCAGGCAUGAUCUCUCAGCUAAAACUGAAGCUGGUGGGAUGGAAGGGACAAACGACAAAUACGUGCCAUCAAUUUCAAGCGACAUCAUUGGAAUGUGUUUCCUAAGGAAGAAAGAGCUUACUAACUUAUUUUAUGGAUGUCACUGAAUUCAGCUUUGAAGGGCUCCCAAAGCACAUCACAAACUUGGAAUGGGAAACCACAGCAAUAAUCAUACCUGCUUGAUAGAUGAUUCCUUUAAAUACAAUCUGUAUGGAGCAGUCUACAGUGUGGUGUUCAUCCUUGGCUUAAUCACAAACUGUGCCUCCCUACUUGUUUUCUGCUGUAGAAUGAAGAUGAGAAGUGAGACCGUUAUCAUUAUGACAAACCUAGCCGUUUCAGACUUGCUCUUCGUAUUCACUUUGCCUUUUAAAAUUUUUUACAACUUUAACAGGCAUUGGCCUUUUGGAGACAGUUUGUGCAAGAUUUCAGGGACGGCAUUUCUCACCAACAUCUAUGGAAGCAUGCUGUUUCUCACUUGCAUCAGUGUUGAUCGGUUCCUAGCUAUUGUUUACCCAUUCAGAUCUCGUACCAUUAGGACAAGAAGAAAUUCAGCCAUAGUGUGUGCUGGUGUUUGGAUACUGGUUCUCAGUGGUGGGAUUUCAGCUUCUUUGUUCUCUACAACCAACAUCUCCAACACUAGCACAACCUGCUUUGAGGGUUUUUCCAAACGUAUCUGGAAGACCUAUUUGUCUAAGAUCACUAUAUUUAUUGAAGUGGUAGGAUUCAUCAUUCCUUUACUACUCAACCUUACAUGCUCUUCAUUGGUUCUGAGGACUCUUCGGAAACCAGCUACAUUAUCUCAGAUUGGGACAAACAAAGAGAAAGUACUGAAGAUGAUCAUCGUGCAUGUGGCUAUUUUUGUAGUAUGCUUUGUGCCUUACAAUUCCAUACUCUUCUUGUAUGCUCUGGUGAGAUCGCAAGCCAUAGCAAACUGUUCCCUGGAGAGAUUUGCUAAGACAAUGUACCCAAUCACAUUGUGCAUUGCAACACUGAACUGCUGCUUUGACCCAUUUAUCUAUUACUUCACAUCAGAAUCUUUCCAAAAGUCUUUCAACAUAAAACCCCAAAUAAAGAUGGAUUCCCUCUUCAAGACUGACACCCCUCUCACGAAGGCUACUGCACUGCCAGCAAUACAGGAGGAAAUGGGUGACCAGGCAAUUACGAAUGGGGGAGAUCCAACAUCUGAAUCUCAUUUCUAAGGGGUUGUCUACCCAUGGAGUUACCCAUGGAUUAACUCUGUGUGUAGUCCAUUUUAUUCCACAAGAAACCGGCUCAUAUAGAGUUAGGAUAUGAAGAGACAUCACAUUUGUCCUGGGAGAAACCAUAUUCUUCUGGGACAAAAAGCAGUUGUUUAUACAUCCUUGUUCAUUGUCUUGGGACAAACUCUAAAAAGGUUCACAGAAUAACUCUUAGGGCAUCACACAGUGCAUUUGAAUGGUUGUUUUAGGAUUGCAUCAUUGGAUCAGUGACAGAAAAGAAGCAGUGCAUUCAGCUGCUCAGCCUUGAUUGUAAGGGCUGUUUGCAUACAUACCAAUCCCACAACUUUUCUGUUCUGGGACAGAAACUGGCACUGCUGAUCCCAGGACAAAUGCAACAUCUAGCCUUAAACAAAAACAGUUAUCCUAGCCUUCCUAGCCUUAAACAUUCCUAGCCUUAAACAAAAACAGUUAUCCAGGAACAGAUAAUCAAAGAUAACUACAUGGGUAGAUAAGACCUAACACUGGGAUUUCCCUACUAGGCGCAACAGACUCUUCAGUGUAUCUAAAUCUAGCUAGAUCUCUCUUCGGAGACUAUGCCUUGUUGAGAAUUCAUGUACCAGCCAAGGAGGUAUUGAGUUGAUUCUUGUAUUGGAAGAUACCAGCAUUUGGCAUUUCCCCCCUCUAGCACUAGACAUGCGGCAGUCAGGAAAUAUAAAUCUUUAUCUUUUUACUUUAGAGAUCUCCAUCAAUUUCCCCUGUCUUCUGAAAAAUACAUCACCCUAUAUUAGCUCAAUAAUUUCACACGUAUAUGUACGUUUGCUUAAAGAGGUAUAAUAAAAGCUUUCAGCUUUUUCGUAUUUUACUACAAGCGUAUAUUCUGGAUAUACUAAAUGCAGGAGUUUUUAAGCAUACUGUUAUCUAAAGUUGAAAAAGUAGAUACAGAUUGGGUUGGAGCUUAAUUAGUUCUUCUGUGAAUUACAAGUAAUGGUUAUUUGUUACUACUAAUAAUGGGGAAGAGCAAAAAAUGAAGCAACUUGCACAGUCCCCUAAAAGAUGCUGUAUUCUUUUGAGCUGCAUGAUUAAGCUACCUUAUAAUUUAUUUUAACACUGCAUUAAAUGCCAACUGUAGACAGAAAAGAGCACAUUACAAAUUUGUUAAGGCUGGCGUUUUUGUACCCCAAGAAAUUACAAGUGAAAAUAGUUUAGUCCUUAUUUGCACAAAAUCAGGUCAAAUAAAAGGCCUGUCAGACAAUAUCUCUGGCAGGCAGUUUGGUCAAAGAAAAGACUGACGAGCCAUAAUAUUUUCAUACCUACUUAAGAAUUUGCAUGCGUAUCGGCAAGAGGCAUAAUAGACCCUGAUGUAGCAGAGGAACUUAUGAGCAAUUUCUUUUCUGUAGGUUACAAGGCAGGGUCUUUUGCUAAGUGAGAGCAUCCUGGCUACUUCUUAAACAAGCAGAAGCUUCUACAUCAGCAGCAUUAAUUUCCCUGUCAGAACAAGAUACUUGGGAUAUUUGUGUUCAGGGAUGAUUUUGGUACUGGUAACUCAAUACAGCUAUUUAGGCUGGUGCCAAGUAGAGAUUUUUUUUCUCCCCUUCAAUCUACGCCUGCAGUGAAUCAUUUAGAAGGAUUUCUGAAAUCCCUGCUUCCUUCAGGCAAUCAACCUGUUUCAACACUUGCCAUAAAAUGUAUACAUUUCAAAGAAGCUGUUUCCAUCACUUCAGAUCAAAAUUCAGAAUGUGGUGGUGUGGAGGGAGAAAAGUUUGCAGCCUUUGAUGCAAGUAGGAGCUUGUCGCCUAUUUUCACAGCCAAGCUCUGUCAAGCAGGGAGUGGAGUCUGUCGAAUCAUUAACAAGUCCAAUGCAUUCUUGUAAUGGGGAUCUCAGCUCCACCCAUUAACUUGAUGUUGUACACCUGAAAUGUUACAAAUUUCUUUAACUGAGGAAGAUGAUGGUGCUAGGGAUGGAGCAUGUAGGGCAAAGGUUGUAGCAGAAAGCUUAGGUAACCACAGGAAAGACAUUUCUAAACUUCUAAUCCAGCUUCUUCCCUCUGGGUAAGGCAAAAUAUCCUGGUACGUGAUUACACUCAGAGGCAAGGGCCAUUUGGAUCAUUAUUUCAAUUUUUCAAAAGAAAAAAUAGAAACUUCUGUUUAGUUGCCAGCUCAUUCUUAAUGGGAAGCUUUGAUUUCCAGCUUGUGAAUCUCUCUGCUUGAAAGCUUCUCCUUUCUGCUUUCAUGCCAUCAGCAUAAAGAUGAGAUUCUUCUGUUACACGUGGGGGAUGGGAUUUUCUUGGUACAAAAUCUGUUCCCAUUAAUGAAAGCAAUAGAGUUGCUUCAGAAUUUGAGAGAAGAAUUUGGCCCAGGGUACCAAAGCCAGCUACAAAGGAGUAUCUUGUUACCAGCAAUCCUGGAAGACCUUGCACUAACUCAACUGACCUUCUACUAGUUACAUUUGCAAGAUUUUUUUUAACCUAGAAACCACUGUCUAGCCUUCUUAAGGAAAUGUUAAAAGAGAGGGGGAAAAGAACUGUAUGUGACUGGAUAACAUCCAGGCUGUACAUACAUAGCUUAACUGUAAUGUGAGCAUAAUGGUUGUCUUUUUCUAAGUGAAACGAGUGCCAAUGCUUACAAAUUUCUGUUUGCAGUUUUAUGGGGCGAGAGCUGUGGUUGAUAGUCUCACAUAAAAUGAAAUACUAUCAUCAUGUGCCAAAAUGCUAACUGAAAAGAUUCAUUAUUUUGUAAUUUAAUACUUUAUAAAUUAUAUGGAGAUCAUAUGUUGACUGACACUCACAUCUGUUAGGACAGUUUUUGAGUAAUCUUUUUAGUUGAAGGUAUACUGAGUAAAUGCUUGUAUGGUUUGUAUAUAAAUAACCAAUUAUGCAUUCAGAGAGAGGAAAAGUAAUUUUUCAGAUGCUGGUAAGCCAAGCUGGAAGGAACUCUGGUGGUAAAUGAAAAGUGGAUUCACAGUUUUUCUGGCUAACAUGCAGCUGGGUGUUUUUUCCCCCUUUGUUAACAAAGGGCUAUUGUUAGAAACAGAAACAUUAGUUUAGAUGCAAGAAGCAAAUGAAGAGGGAAUGCUUUUAUGUAGCUGAACCUGAUCGAUUCAACUAUGCCCUGUUUCUGUCUCUAAAUCUACAAGGUUGAGGAUUCCACCUAUGUGCACACAAGCUUGCUUUUCUUUUUACAUUUUUCAUGUCUGUGAAUCAUCAUACUAAAUCUUACCAUGUAAUUCAGUGCCACCAAUCUUAUCUUAAAUACCCUUCAUGUUAAAGGAGCAGCCUUCAGAACAGCACUGAUGUACAAAGAAAAUCUUCCAGUUGUGUGCAUAUAAAUGUGUCUGCAAAAUGAUAUUCUGCUCCGAGGGAUUUUGGAGCGCGUGUCAUGACAUGUCAGGGAUGGUGGUUAUAUGAAGGCUAUUAAGUAGAGCUGCAGGACCAGAGUUUACAACAUAGUAGGUUUUUGUAAGCAAGACAGAGGUACUUUUCUAUCAGGAGAUCUCAUAAGGUAAGUUUUCAGUGGCUUCAUAGAAUUAAGGGAAACCAGACAAGUUGUUCCACAAAAGCAGGCAGGAACCAGAAAUUCCCAUAUACAAGCUGUUUGCUUGUGUACUGAGAAUCUAUGGUCUAUGCUGGCUUGGUGCAUUAAAAAAAACCUGUGAUAUGGACACUUUACAUUCUCACUGAGUUUCACAGGUACUCUGAAAAGGAAUCACCGUAACACAAGAAUGCUGUGCUGUAUUUAGCAUUAUUCCUUACAGACAUUCCUUACUGCAUACAGACAUUACAGCCAGAAAUUCAGGGGGGUUAGAUUGGGUUAAAAAUAGUCCACUGAUAGAUGCUGGGAGCCCAGGAGCCUGAGCUAAGGUAAGUAGGGAUAGGAGGAGGGGCAGGUGAGAUGGAGGAUUGGGAGAGUAGCAGGGUCUGGAGGGGCUCUGCAAUUCUGCCAAAGCCCAUGGACCCCUUCCAAGACCACCCCCCACAAUGCCACUGAACCACUCCUGAUCCCACAAACCACUCCCUGAGCCAAUUUUACCAGUAUGCACAGGUCCCAGGAGCCUGACUGAAGUAAGUUGGGGUGGUGGGAUGGGUGGAUGGAUCAUGGUGGGGUUGGUGGCUCUGCCAGGGGGCUUUGGGAGAUUGGGGAGAAGGAGGAGAGCUCCUCCAACCAGGGGCUUUUAACCCCCUGAUCUCUUCCCUACCCCCACGCUGCGGC